ensembl:lncRNA
GAUAAUGUGGUCCAGUAGACGAGUAAUUGGAAUUGUCCCAGAGAGGACAGAAGAGUAGAUGACAAAUAAAUGAGUCCAUGUCAUUUGCAGUGAACUACAUUUUGUUUCAGUGAACAAAUGUGCUACAAGUUUUCAGUCUGACUCCUCAAGAGGAGGGGAAAUACCUGAAUAACUCUCAGAAAUCUUGAAACAUACUCUCAAACUCCUUUAUCAAAACAGAAGGUUAUUUGCAUUUGGGGAGUAGUGUUCUCAACACACCAAAAUGUUGCGAUCUCCUACAGAGAGAGAAUGAAGAUGAAUGGCUUUGGUUGGUGUAUCGAACCCAUUGCAAGUGCCAUGUACUGAGAAGAACAACACACUGUCAUGCACUUCCACAGCUCCCUGUUGUGACUUCAGACACUGUUUCUCACAAAAAGUCCUCCACGGCUAUGAAUUUCAAGACUUUACUUGUGUGUAAUACACAAUGCAUUUUCAAAAUGCUAAAGAAUGUAAAGUUCUCAUUUAGAACUAAAGAUCACCUGAAGUAUUUAAUGUCCUUUCAUUACAUUAGAAGUCUUGGCAACUUUGUUUUUCAGCAGGUGGAAGUGAAGCCUAAACGUAAUAUUUACUUGGAUGCUUUAAAAGAAAAACCUUACUCUGAUAGCGACAAUAUAACUGUUGUAUAAUGCCUGGGAGGGAAAGUGCCAAAGCAUAAAAAAAUCUCCAAAGCUUAAAGACAUAUUUAUGAAUCUUAAAUGGAAGAAUUAACAGUUACAAACAUCUGGAUUUCCUUUGAAAGCUGUCUAUUAUGUUAUAGGGAUUCCCUGCUGAACUGUACAAUUCCAGAGCUGCUAUGGCCAGUACUCAGUUAUGAUAUUUGCUGUAGUUCUAGUUCUUCUGGUGGACCUUUCAUUUCAGCUAUGGAGAGGUUUCAAAAGUAAACUUUUUCUGGCUGUUCUCUACCACUGUGAUGACAUAGUAUCCAGACUGCAUGGGAGUGUCUUGAGCCUACAGAUGCAUGCACUCAGGCAAGCUUCCAAAAGACUUUGCCAAAAGUACAUCUUCCUACAAUUUGCUGCCUUACUACUGCAGAAUUAAUGCUAGUCCAGUUGAAAUGAAACAAGAUCUACAGAUAACUUGUAAAACAUAUCUACAAGGACUUUCACUGACCCUUCAUACUUUGUAGAACACCGUGUCCAGGAAGGAGAAAAAUAAUAAAAGUUUGGUGAAAAGUACUAACAGGUAAACAAAUGGACUGAAAAUUUGAAUGUCAUGGUGUAACUAGGCUCACAGAAGAUGCAAACUUCUCAAUUACAGCAAAUUCUCAAUUGCAAUUCUCAAUUGCAGCAAAAGAACCUAUGAACUUCAGAUUUGGAUCAUUGAAAAGAUGUGGUGAAGUUUACUGGCCAAAUGAAAUAUUCCCAAGACAAGUUCCAUGAAAUAUGAAGUUUUAAUACAAGAGCUGCUUCAAAAAUAAUGUUUCCCUUUUUUAUUAUGUUGGCCCACAGAGUCAGAGGUAGAUGUUGGUAGUAUGGUAGAAGAGGUUGAACUUUCACACCAUGAAGGUUUGUUGCUAUGUGACAGAUGGCAGUAGAGGGGCAGUCUGAUAAAAUGGUGUCUGCCAUGGAAAGGCAUGAGAAGAAAAAGUGUGUCAUUGAAUUUCUCCAUGCAGAAAAAAAAAAACCUGCAACCAUUGAUGGUCCUGGAUGCUUGGUGAAUGUUAAUAGAGACCAAGCAGUGGAUAUGAGCACAGUUAGGUGGUGGGUGGUGCAUUCCAACAAUGGCACUGCCAUAGCAGCUUUGAAAUAAUGGGUCAACCUCUACUGGUGCAGAUUUUUACUGGUGUGGCAUGCAAGCUCUUGUUCACUAGCUCUUGCUGGUGAAAAUGCGUAGCUAAUGAUGGUGAUUAUGUUGGAAAAUAGUGUUUUGUAGCUGAGAGUUUGCUCUAUCAAAUAGUGUUAUUGUGUUCUUUGUAUCUGUUGUAGUUUCCACGGAAAUAAAUAGGAGGCCUUACUUUUGGAGUAACCUAUGUAUUUAUAUUUCUUUUUGCACUCCUCAAGAAAUUUUGGGAGUAAUGUUAGGAUUAUGAUGAUAAAAUCGAUAAUUUCAUGAGCUAGCCCAAAAUAAUUUCAGAGAAAAAUAAUCACAUGCAAUGGAAAUACCUAUUUAUUAAGUUCCUUAUUCAUUAAUGAAAACAAAACAUUUUAUGAAAUGCCAGUUUCCUUUAUGUCUUACGUUUUUAAUUUAAGAAGGAAAUCAUUAUUAACUGCGUUUUGUACUUAAAUGGAAAUUAGCCUUGCCCGUGUAAAUGACUGCAGCAGUAAACCUGAGUAACAAGAAAUGCAUUGCUUUUCUUCUUAAAUCUGGCUUUGAAAGAAGAAAAUAAAGAUUUGUCAUCCCUUAAGGAAGCAAAUGGCCUGAUUUUGUCAUCAGUUGUCAUUUCACUCUUAACUCAAUAAAUCUUAAUCUUCAAAGUCAGUAUUGGCUUAUUAAAGAUAAACUGCAAUUCUGGAUGAUGUUUCCUCUCUUCCUGUAUUUGUUCCCAUGAAAUACACAUUACCCUUGACACAAUGGUUUUCUGUGCCUAUCCUAAGUAUCAAUUCAAUGCUAUUAAAUGCAUGUCUAAUACUAAAUAAAGCAUGCAGAUUAAGCACUCCUUAUUACAUGUACUUCAGUUUAUUGACUCACACCUUAGGUUUGUUUCUGUAUUGAGAGAGUAGUAAUUUACUGCAUGUGAUUUAUAGUUCCUAGGCAGUGGAAUGUAUAUACAUAAUGUAUUAAAUUUAAUGAAUGAUGAAAGUGUUAAAAAUUUCCGAAAUAAAAAUAGUUGUGUGUUCUUCAAAUUUAUUACUGCUUUGAAAUUAUUUUCACAAGUAUUUACAAGACUUCGUAGCAAAAGUGAAUCAUCACAGAUCCUGCAUCAGUGUUUUACAUUCACUGCAAAAUGUUGUAGACUGAAUAUCACUGAUAAUUUGACGCUGUUUUGACCCUAUUUAUUAAAGUAAUUAGGACUGAAUUCUGCUGGCUCACCAGGUUCUCCUAUUUGCUGAUGUAUCCUCAAGCUGCUAGUAGCAAUUCAGAUGCAAUGCUUUAACUCUUAUUCACUCACAUGAUGGGAAUAAAUUGUACCAUGGAUUAGGAUUAUUCACAUGCUAUAAGAACUGAAUCUACAACAUUUUCUCAAGUAUUACUUUUAGACACUGCAGAUCAAGAAUCAGAAUAUCUUGAAGAAAUUCCAACAAAACCUGGAAUUUCUUGGAUUCUUUAAAAUAACAGUUCUGUAAAAAAAAAAAGAGAGUAAUAUCCUGUCUACUGAUAAAGAGUAGGAUUAUCAUCAAUAAAGAAAGCCAGAUUUCCCAGCUUGUUUAAAAGAGACAGUAUUUCUAACUAUCCAGACAAAGCUAAUAGUAAGAGGUAAUUAAUCUAUGAGUUAAUCAAAUACAUAUUUUAGGAUUCGUUCCCUUCACUUAUACUGCCACAGUUGAAUUAGUUGUCCUUAAGAAAUAAUUUGAGUAGUGUUACUACGACAGAGUAGUACUAACCAGAAGUUCAAUCACUGUUAAUUAGUUUAUGUGAUAGUAAUAAAAAAAAAAAAAAUAGUACUAGCCUACAAUCUAGAGUUUUACCAGUUCUUUCC